rnacentral:piRNA from 1 species
AGGGACAAUAGAAUGCCAGUGUGCA